CAAUAGCGUAUAUUAAAGUUGUUGCAGUUAAAAAGCUCGUAGUUGAAUUUCUGGGCGGCCCGCCGGUCUUCCAUGUGUUGUACUGGGCGGCGCCGGCCAUCCUUGUGGAGAGGGCUCGCAUUUGGUUGCGUUUCGGAUCUGCAUCAUUUACUGUGAAAAAAUUAGAGUGUUUAAAGCAGGCUGUCGCUUGAAUACAUUAGCAUGGAAUAAUAAGAUAGGACUUCGGUCUAUUUUGUUGGUUGCGAACCGAGGUAAUGAUUAAUAGGGAUAGUUGGGGGUAUUCAUAUUUAAUUGUCAGAGGUGAAAUUCUUGGAUUUAUGAAAGAUGAACAACUGCGAAAGCAUUUACCAAGGAUGUUUUCAUUAA
rnacentral:rRNA from 1 species